CUUAAGCAUAUCAAUAAGCGGAGGAAAAGAAACCAACAGGGAUUGCCCUAGUAACGGCGAGUGAAGCGGCAACAGCUCAAAUUUGAAAUCUGGCUCUUUCAGAGUCCGAGUUGUAAUUUGCAGAGGGCGCUUUGGCUUUGGCAGCGGUCCAAGUUCCUUGGAACAGGACGUCACAGAGGGUGAGAAUCCCGUACGUGGUCGCUAGCUAUUGCCGUGUAAAGCCCCUUCGACGAGUCGAGUUGUUUGGGAAUGCAGCUCUAAAUGGGAGGUAAAUUUCUUCUAAAGCUAAAUAUUGGCCAGAGACCGAUAGCGCACAAGUAGAGUGAUCGAAAGAUGAAAAGCACUUUGGAAAGAGAGUCAAACAGCACGUGAAAUUGUUGAAAGGGAAGCGCUUGCAGCCAGACUUGCUUGCAGUUGCUCAUCCGGGCUUUUGCCCGGUGCACUCUUCUGCAGGCAGGCCAGCAUCAGUUUGGGCGGUGGGAUAAAGGUCUCUGUCAUGUACCUCUCUUCGGGGAGGCCUUAUAGGGGAGGCGACAUACCACCAGCCUAGACUGAGGUCCGCGCAUCUGCUAGGAUGCUGGCGUAAUGGCUGUAAGCGGCCCGUCUUGAAACACGGACCAAGGAGUCUAACAUCUAUGCGAGUGUUUGGGUGUCAAGCCCGAGCGCGUAAUGAAAGUGAACGGAGGUGGGAACCCGCAAGGGUGCACCAUCGACCGAUCCUGAAGUUUACGGAAGGAUUUGAGUAAGAGCAUGGCUGUUGGGACCCGAAAGAUGGUGAACUAUGCUUGAAUAGGGUGAAGCCAGAGGAAACUCUGGUGGAGGCUCGCAGCGGUUCUGACGUGCAAAUCGAUCGUCAAAUUUGGGCAUAGGGGCGAAAGACUAAUCGAACUAUCUAGUAGCUGGUUCCUGCCGAGUC
rnacentral:rRNA from 1 species